rnacentral:rRNA from 1 species
CGCGAUAAGUCGACCGCCUGGGGAGUACGGCCGCAAGGUUAAAACUCAAAUGAAUUGACGGGGGCCCGCACAAGCGGUGGAGCAUGUGGUUUAAUUCGAUGCAACGCGAAGAACCUUACCUACUCUUGACAUCCUGCGAAUUUGGUAGAGAUACCUUAGUGCCUUCGGGAACGCAGAGACAGGUGCUGCAUGGCUGUCGUCAGCUCGUGUUGUGAAAUGUUGGGUUAAGUCCCGUAACGAGCGCAACCCUUGUCCUUAUUUGCCAGCGCGUAAUGGCGGGAACUCUAAGGAGACUGCCGGUGACAAACCGGAGGAAGGUGGGGACGACGUCAAGUCAUCAUGGCCCUUACGAGUAGGGCUACACACGUGCUACAAUGGUCGGUACAAAGGGUUGCCAACUCGCGAGAGUGAGCCAAUCCCGAAAAGCCGAUCUCAGUCCGGAUCGGAGUCUGCAACUCGACUCCGUGAAGUCGGAAUCGCUAGUAAUCGUGGAUCAGAAUGCCACGGUGAAUACGUUCCCGGGCCUUGUACACACCGCCCGUCACACCAUGGGAGUGGACUGCACCAGAAGUGGUUAGCCUAACGCAAGAGGGCGAUCAU